rnacentral:lncRNA from 1 species
UUGUUUUUAAUACUGAGUAAUACUCUAUUGUGUAAAUGUACUCCAUUUUCUGAAUCCAUUCCUCUGUUGAGGGACAUCUGGGUUCUUUGCCCUUAGCUGUUUCUUGUAAGAAGGCACACAUGUAUUUGUGUGUGUGUGUGUGUGUGCACGCCUGUCUACACAACUUAUAGUUAUGGGUUUUGAGGUCUUCAAAAAUGAUAUUGUUGUUGUUUCAUUCAGUUACGGAAAUCUAAGCUUGUAACAGAUUGAGCCUUCCACAAAUAACUAUGGAAAAUUCUAGGAAAACAGAAGCUAAAUACUUGGGGGACUGUGUCUCUAAUUCAGUAGUGGAACACUUGCCCAGCAUGUGCAAGGCCCUGGACUCAUCCAUGGUAGUGCAGUAAUACUAACCAUAAAUAACUGUCUCAGACCUUUGGAGAGAUCGGGUGGGGGGCAGGGUGGAUCUUACAGAAAGCUGCUGUUGCUGUGAAGUGCUCCAUGUCUGUAGUCUGGGCCCUGGCAGUACCCACAGUUACUGGAGUUGUGGUAUGGCUAAAAUUCCAACAGAAUUCAUUCCUUGUGGCAAGAAGAGCUGUUUGGAAGAGCUCAGAGUAACCAGAACUGCCAGAAAGUAAGGAAGAGCCCCAAGGGGAAGAAGAUAAAGGAAGACACAAGUAAGAGGAUUGGCAAUUCUGAUAAUAACUGUGAUGUUGACAAUUAUGGACCCACAUGUAUGGACAGACUGACAGCAUCCAGAUGCAGAUUAUGAGCUAAUACCACCUCAGCUGUAGUAGAGUUGGGAGUUUGGUUCUGAUCAAGUUAACUGUCUACCAAAAUAAAUUAUCAGCCUGGCUCCAUGGGUGAUACUUAAAACACCCACUAGUGUUUGAUAUUUAAAGAGUCAGGAUAAUUUGACUCUCUUUUAAAGGAAAAAAACAUCAGAAGCCAGCCUUAAGAUGAAACAGGUUAUCAGACAACAUUUUAAAGCAUAUAUUUUAACUAUACUAAGUAAGAACAGAGGAACUAUGUUUGUAGUGAAUAAAAUCUAGCAAUGAUAUAAGUAAAAUAAAAAAUUAAAAACUAACCAGAAACUUUGGAAUGGAAGAUAUGUAGUAUUUGAAAACAUUAUUCACCUAUGCAAUCAACAGCCUAUCAGCUAAGAGAGAAAAAGACGAAGUGAACCUGAAGCUCUGUUUACAGAGCUAUCUAAUUUGACAAGAGAAUUAUUGAAAUCAUUACCAGCUUCAAAGAUAUGGGGUGAUAACCAGAAGUCUAUGAGAGUGAUUUGAGAACUAUAGUAAAGGGAAGAAUUUGAAAAGUAAUUCUCCAUUGAGUCCCCUGACUUUAUGAAUCACAUUACUUUACAUAUAAAGAGGUACAGUUAACUACAAACCUGAAAAUUAUAGACCAGCUAUGUUUAGGCACAAUAUGGUUAAAUUAUGUAGCAUCUACGAAAAAGGAAACUGUGAAAUAUGUAAGAUUAAAACAAAUUACAAAUGGGAGAAAUUAUUAAAGUAGCAGAAUUCUAAUAUAAGAGUUUUAGGUAUUGCAUGAAUUGCUGUGAACUAGCUUUAAAUACAUUAUAAAAUGCUGCUAAGAAUGUAGAAUGUGAUGUUUAGAACAGCCACUAAAGAAGUAAUUCAAAGAGGUAUAAUAAAAAAAGACAAUUGAUUAUCUAAGGUUAUUAGAAAACAAAUGUUAGCUAAAACACAUUUAGAAAAACAUUUCAAGUAUAAAGAUGCACUCUAAAUAGAAUACACAAGUGGGCUGAUGUAAAUGGAUUGGACUGUACAGAUUGAUACAAGUGAUAAGCACAAGAAGGCUGGAGUGGCUUCGUGACUAUCAGGCAGAGUAAAUUAAGAACUAAGAAUGUUACCAAAGGUAAAGAGGGGCAUUCAUAAUGGAAACACAGGAGUCAGCUCCUCAAAAAGACACAAUUAUCGUAAGCCCAUAUGUGCUUAACCUUGGACCUUAAAAUAUACAAAAUAAACAGUUACAGUGU